GGGAGAGCUGACACAUGUGGACGAGGUUGCCCGCAGGGACCUUGCUAGAGACGCCCAUCCAGCAAUCCCAUGAGGCCUAAAUAAGGAAUCCCAGCCUAUGAAGAGGAACCCCAGCCCAGAGGGGUCAGGGACUAAUCUCAGCAAUAGUAACAGCCAGCAUCAGCUGCCUGCUUGCCAGGGCGCUCGGCAACAGCGUCAUCCUGCAUCCCCGAAGUGCCACGUGCACGUCUCUGCACACAGCCAGCUUGCACUGGGUAGGAGGGCCCUGCAGCGGGGACAGGGUCCUGGUCACACAGAGGCCUGGGAGCCCAA
rnacentral:lncRNA from 1 species